rnacentral:rRNA from 1 species
UACGUAGGUGGCAAGCGUUGUCCGGAUUUAUUGGGUUUAAAGGGUGCGUAGGCGGCCGCCUAAGUCAGUUGUGAAAUACCCCGGCUCAACCGGGGGGGUGCGAUUGAUACUGGGCGGCUCGAGUAACAGCGAGGUUGGCGGAAUUGACGGUGUAGCGGUGAAAUGCAUAGAUAUCGUCAAGAACACCGAUAGCGAAGGCAGCCAACUAGGGGUUAACUGACGCUGAGGCACGAAAGCGUGGGUAGCAAACAGG